AGGGGCUGUAGCUCAGUGGCAGGGAAUCUGCCUUACAUGCAGAAGCUUCCAGGUUCAAUCUUUGGCAUCUUGA